rnacentral:rRNA from 1 species
CAGGCCGGCGGCGUACCAUGCAUGUCGAUCGAACGGUAACAGCACUUGCUUGUUUGUUUACUAAUGACUGACGGAUGGGUGAGGUAUGGCUGGCUGCCUGCUGGAUGGAGGGAAAUAAUGACUGCAGACGGUAACAACUAACAAAGUCAGUCGACCGACCAAGGAGAGCGACCUUCCUCUUGCUUGCCAACGUAUGCGCAUGGAUUUAAUUAGUUAGUGGGGGGACUACCCGCUCACCUAACGAUCCAUCCCUGGUUUGACAGAAAGAACGACCACCCUGGAACUGACUGACACUCCACACUCAUUCCGAAGGGAGGAAUGAGUAAGAUUGAUUGAUGAAUGCGCGCCUGACUGAUCCAUCCCUGGCGCGUGAAUAAAGACUGCCUUCUGUUUGUUACUUUCUUUCGGCAGGAAGGAAGGAAGUAUAAUACAUUUGCUUGCUGACUGACCUCACCCAAAAAACAACCGCCAACUCCCUGCCUGCCGCCACGGUAGUAAAUAGGGAGGGUGCAUUCAUCGAACUUACUUACUGGAAAUAGAACGCACGCGGGUUGUUUGUUCAGACGGAAGUUAACUCGGCUGGCUCAGCCAGCUGACUGUGACAGAGACUGGCUUGCUUGACUCACAGAGAGGGAGAAUUAAAUGCAUGAGUAUCAAAGGAAUGCAUAUAUAGAUGAAUACCUAUGGCUGACGCAGGCCCCCGCAUGAACACAGACUGACACUCACGAGCGAGUGCGUAGCAAGCAAAAUGAAUACAUACGCUGGUCGUCCAGUACACAAUCUAUACUUACUUGUAGUUCCUUCCUUCAUGCCUGCCUGCGCGAGCUAGCCAGUCGAUCGACUGCCGGAGGAAGUACGGCACGCAUAGAUACUCACAUCGAAUGGACUGACGGGUCGCCCCAUCGAUCGGAGAUGAUGUGCAUAGAUGCAUCGCACCGACCGUACCUGGCCCUGUGUACUUGCACUCCCACGUAUUCUCUUCUCACUGUAG